rnacentral:rRNA from 1 species
ACGUACACUCCUACGGGAGGCAGCAGUGGGGAAUAUUGGACAAUGGGCGCAAGCCUGAUCCAGCCAUGCCGCGUGAGUGAUGAAGGCCCUAGGGUUGUAAAGCUCUUUCACCGGUGAAGAUAAUGACGGUAACCGGAGAAGAAGCCCCGGCUAACUUCGUGCCAGCAGCCGCGGUAAUACGAAGGGGGCUAGCGUUGUUCGGAUUUACUGGGCGUAAAGCGCACGUAGGCGGACUAUUAAGUCAGGGGUGAAAUCCCGGGGCUCAACCCCGGAACUGCCUUUGAUACUGGUAGUCUUGAGUUCGAGAGAGGUGAGUGGAAUUCCGAGUGUAGAGGUGAAAUUCGUAGAUAUUCGGAGGAACACCAGUGGCUAAGGCGGCUCACUGGCUCGAUACUGACGCUGAGGUGCGAAAGCGUGGGGAGCAAACAGGAUUAGAAACCCGGGUAGUCCCAUGA